AUUGAACGCUGGCGGCAGGCCUAACACAUGCAAGUCGAGCGGAGCGGCGGACGGGUGAGGAAUGCCUAGGAAUCUGCCUGGUAGUGGGGGAUAACGUCCGGAAACGGGCGCUAAUACCGCAUACUAUCAGAUGAGCCUAGUGCGGAUUAGCUGGGUGGGGGGGUAAAGGCAUACCAAGGCGACGAUCCGUAACUGGUCUGAGAGGAGGAUCAGUCACACGGGAAAGGAGAACCGGUCCAGACUCCUACGGGAGGCAGCAGUGGGGAAUAUUGGACAAUGGGCGAAAGCCUGAUCCAGCCAUGCCGCGUGUGUGAAGAAGGCCUUCGGAUUGUAAAGCACGUUAAGUUGGGAGGCGUUACCAACAGAAUAAGCACCGGCUAACUUCGUGCCAGCAGCCGCGGUAAUAC
rnacentral:rRNA from 1 species